rnacentral:rRNA from 1 species
AUUGAACGCUGGCGGCAUGCUUUACACAUGCAAGUCGAACGGUAACAGGCCGCAAGGUGCUGACGAGUGGCGAACGGGUGAGUAAUGCAUCGGAACGUGCCCAGUCGUGGGGGAUAACGCAGCGAAAGCUGCGCUAAUACCGCAUACGAUCUAUGGAUGAAAGCGGGGGACCGAAAGGCCUCGCGCGAUUGGAUCGGCCGAUGUCAGAUUAGGUCGUUGGUGGGGUAAAGGAUCACCAAGCCAACGAUCUGUAGCUUGGCUGAGAGGACGACCAGCCACACUGGGACGGAGACACGGCCCAGACUCCUACGGGAGGCAGCAGUGGGGAAUUUUGGACAAUGGGCGCAAGCCUGAUCCAGCAAUGCCGCGUGCAGGAAGAAGGCCUUCGGGUUGUAAACUGCUUUUGUACGGAACGAAACGGUCUGGGUUAAUACCUCGGGCUAAUGACGGUACCGUAAGACUAAGCACCGGCUAACUACGUGCCAGCCGCCGCCGUAAAAC